UACGUAGGGGGCAAGCGUUGUCCGGAAUUAUUGGGCGUAAAGCGCGCGCAGGCGGUCUUUUAAGUCUGAUGUGAAAGUCCACGGCUCAACCGUGGGAUUGCAUUGGAAACUGGAGGACUUGAGUGCAGAAGAGGAGAGUGGAAUUCCUGGUGUAGCGGUGAAAUGCGUAGAGAUCAGGAGGAACACCGAUGGCGAAGGCAGCUCUCUGGUCUGUAACUGACGCUGAGGCGCGAAAGCGUGGGUAGCAAACAGG
rnacentral:rRNA from 1 species